rnacentral:rRNA from 1 species
UUUGAAUCCUGGAUCAGAGCGAACGCUGGCGGCAUGCUUAACACAUCCAAGUCGCACGGAUCUUUCGGGAUUAGUGGCGGACGGGUGAGUAACGCGUAGGGAUCUAUCCAUGGGUGGGGGACAACUCCGGGAAACUGGAGCUAAUACCGCAUGAUACCUGAGGGUCAAAGGCGCAAGUCGCCUGUGGAGGAACCUGCGUUCGAUUAGCUAGUUGGUGGGGUAAAGGCCUACCAAGGCGAUGAUCGAUAGCUGGUUUGAGAGGAUGAUCAGCCACACUGGGASUGAGACACGGCCCAGACUCCUACGGGAGGCAGCAGUGGGGAAUAUUGGACAAUGGGCGCAAGCCUGAUCCAGCAAUGCCGCGUGUGUGAAGAAGGUCUUCGGAUUGUAAAGCACUUUCGACGGGGACGAUGAUGACGGUACCCGUAGAAGAAGCCCCGGCUAACUUCGUGCCAGCAGCCGCGGUAAUACGAAGGGGGCUAGCGUUGCUCGGAAUGACUGGGCGUAAAGGGCGCGUAGGCGGUUGAUGCAGUCAGAUGUGAAAUCCCCGGGCUUAACCUGGGAACUGCAUUUGAGACGCAUUGACUAGAGUUCGAGAGAGGGUUGUGGAAUUCCCAGUGUAGAGGUGAAAUUCGUAGAUAUUGGGAAGAACACCGGUGGCGAAGGCGGCAACCUGGCUCGAUACUGACGCUGAGGCGCGAAAGCGUGGGGAGCAAACAGGAUUA